GGGUGGAACAGCAACUUGGAGGAAAGUAAAGCGAAAGCUGAUUGCAUUAAAUAAUUUCUAGUUUAAUGUUAUUACUACUUAGUAGUUUAAAUUUCUAGGUAGAAUCUGAUGAUGACAUUUUCUAUCUAUAUGUCUUGACCAAAUUACGUGCCAGCAGUCGCGGUAAUACGUAGAAGACGAGUGUUAUUCAUCUUUAUUAGGUUUAAAGGGUACCAAGACGGUUAAUAAAGCCUAGAAUAUAUUAAAACAAGGGGACAUAUUAACUAGAGUUAUAUGAAAGGAAGCUUUAAGGUACUGUUGAGUGUAGAGAUGAAAUUCAGUCAUACCAGAUGAGUGGCACAGAUUUAUGCGAAGGCAUCUUCUUAUGUAAUAACUGACGUUGUAGGACGAAGGCUUUUGAAGUGAACAGGAUUAGAUACCCCAGUAAUCUUAGCAGAAAAUGAUGAAUGUCAUAGGUUAAUCCAAAUUAUAAAUUAGGAUUGGUCUAUAAAUGAAAGUGUAAGCAUUCCACCUCAAGAGUAAUUUGGCAACAUUGGAACUGAAAUCAUUAGACCGUUUCUGAAACCAGUAGUGAAGUAUGUUGUUUAAUUUGAUGAUCCACAAAAAACCUUACCACAAUUUGAAUAUAUAUCUUCAAAAAUUAAUUUUUUUUUGAUGAUAUUUACAAGCGUUGCACGGCUGUCUACAGUUAAUGUCGUGAGAUUUUGGUUAGUUCCAUAAAAUUAACGAAAUCCCUCCUUUUAUUUAUAAAUAAAGUUUUCUUCGCUAUAUAUGAUGUUAUAAUAGGGAUAUGACAAGUCAUCAUGGGCCUAAUAU
rnacentral:rRNA from 1 species